UACGGAGGAUCCGAGCGUUAUCCGGAUUUAUUGGGUUUAAAGGGUGCGCAGGCGGGAGAUUAAGUCGGCGGUGAAAUUUUGCAGCUCAACUGUAAAAGUGCCUUCGAAGCCGGUUUCCUUGAGUGUAGAUGAAGUAGGCGGAAUUUGUGGUGUAGCGGUGAAAUGCGUAGAUAUCGGGAGGAACACCAGCGGCGAAGGCGGCUUUCUGGCCUAUGACUGACCCUGAUGGACGAAAGCUAGGGGAGCAAACAGGAUUAGAUACCCGCGUAGUCCCUGA
rnacentral:rRNA from 1 species